rnacentral:rRNA from 1 species
UACGUAGGGUGCAAGCGUUAAUCGGAAUUACUGGGCGUAAAGCGUGCGCAGGCGGCUCGCUAAGACCGAUGUGAAAUCCCCGGGCUUAACCUGGGAACUGCAUUGGUGACUGGCGGGCUAGAGUAUGGCAGAGGGGGGUAGAAUUCCACGUGUAGCAGUGAAAUACGUAGAGAUGUGGAGGAAUACCGAUGGCGAAGGCAGCCCCCUGGGCCAAUACUGACGCUCAUGCACGAAAGCGUGGGGAGCAAACAGG